UACGUAGGGUGCAAGCGUUAAUCGGAAUUACUGGGCGUAAAGCGUGCGCAGGCGGUUUUGUAAGUCUGACGUGAAAUCCCCGGGCUCAACCUGGGAAUUGCGUUGGAGACUGCAAGGCUAGAAUCUGGCAGAGGGGGGGUAGAAUUCCACGUGUAGCAGUGAAAUGCGUAGAUAUGUGGAGGAACACCGAUGGCGAAGGCAGCCCCCUGGGUCAAGAUUGACGCUCAUGCA
rnacentral:rRNA from 1 species